rnacentral:rRNA from 1 species
CUACGGGAGGCAGCAGUGGGGAAUUUUGGACAAUGGGCGCAAGCCUGAUCCAGCCAUGCCGCGUGCGGGAAGAAGGCCUUCGGGUUGUAAACCGCUUUUGUCAGGGAAGAAAAGUUCUGGGUUAAUACCCUGGGAUGAUGACGGUACCUGAAGAAUAAGCACCGGCUAACUACGUGCCAGCAGCCGCGGUAAUACGUAGGGUGCAAGCGUUAAUCGGAAUUACUGGGCGUAAAGCGUGCGCAGGCGGUUAUGCAAGACAGAUGUGAAAUCCCCGGGCUCAACCUGGGAACUGCAUUUGUGACUGCAUAGCUAGAGUACGGUAGAGGGGGAUGGAAUUCCGCGUGUAGCAGUGAAAUGCGUAGAUAUGCGGAGGAACACCGAUGGCGAAGGCAAUCCCCUGGACCUGUACUGACGCUCAUGCACGAAAGCGUGGGGAGCAAACAGGAUUAGAUACCCUGGU